AGACUAGAACGUUGAUAGGCAGGGUGUGUAAGCGUUGUGAGGCGUUGAGCUAACCUGUACUAAUUGCCCGUGAGGCUUAACCAUACAACACCCAAGGGGUUUUGUA
rnacentral:rRNA from 1 species